CCUACGGGUGGCAGCAGUGAGGAAUAUUGGUCAAUGGUCGGGAGACUGAACCAGCCAAGCCGCGUGAGGGAGGAAGGUACAGAGUAUCGUAAACCUCUUUUAUCAGGGACGAAGCAAGUGACGGUACCUGAUGAAUAAGCCACGGCUAACUACGUGCCAGCAGCCGCGGUAAUACGUAGGUGGCAAGCGUUAUCCGGAUUUACUGGGUGUAAAGGGCGUGUAGGCGGGAGUGCAAGUCAGAUGUGAAAACUAUGGGCUCAACCCAUAGCCUGCAUUUGAAACUGUACUUCUUGAGUGCUGGAGAGGCAAUCGGAAUUCCGUGUGUAGCGGUGAAAUGCGUAGAUAUACGGAGGAACACCAGUGGCGAAGGCGGAUUGCUGGACAGUAACUGACGCUGAGGCGCGAAAGCGUGGGGAGCAAACAGGAUUAGAUACCCUAGUAGUC
rnacentral:rRNA from 1 species